CUCUCUCUCUCUAGCGCUAUCUCAGACGCACACACAUCCCGACAUGUCUGCACAGCAGGAAUCUCAUCCUCAGUUCAGCUCGUUCUAUGUGAUCAACCACUUCAGAAUUCGACCGUGUAUCAUCGAACGCAUGUUCGAGUGGUGAAGGUAAAAAAAAAUUAGUACAUAUCUCAAACACGUACAAUGCCUAUUUGCUCUUAUGAUAAUCUGAGUUAUUCAUUUUGUAAUUCCGACACUUAAAUCAUUAAUGUAAAAUAUUAGGUUGAUUGAAUAGUUAAAUUUACUUGACUUUUUCUUUUUGGAAAAGAGAUUUACAAGUCGACGCCUACAAAAUGAACGGUAUCAUUAAAGAAAGUAUGGUAUCCCACAGAAUUAGUGAUGUGUUUGAGAGGUGUGUACGUAGUAUGUAUUAAUCCAAUAUACAUAUAACUGUUUGAAGGUACAUUACCUUUUUUU